rnacentral:rRNA from 1 species
GACGAACGCUGGCGGCGUGCCUAAUACAUGCAAGUAGAACGCUGAAGGAGGAGCUUGCUCUUCUGGAUGAGUUGCGAACGGGUGAGUAACGCGUAGGUAACCUGCCUGGUAGCGGGGGAUAACUAUUGGAAACGAUAGCUAAUACCGCAUAACAGUAGAUGUUGCAUGACAUUUACUUAAAAGGUGCAAUUGCAUCACUACCAGAUGGACCUGCGUUGUAUUAGCUGGUUGGUGGGGUAACGGCUCACCAAGGCGACGAUACAUAGCCGACCUGAGAGGGUGAUCGGCCACACUGGGACUGAGACACGGCCCAGACUCCUACGGGAGGCAGCAGUAGGGAAUCUUCGGCAAUGGACGGAAGUCUGACCGAGCAACGCCGCGUGAGUGAAGAAGGCUUUCGGAUCGUAAAGCUCUGUUGUAAGAGAAGAACGAGUGUGAGAGUGAAAAGUUCACACUGUGACGGUAUCUUACCAGAAAGGGACGGCUAACUACGUG